GAUGAACGCUGGCGGCGUGCUUAAUACAUGCAAGUCGAGCGAACAGACGCGGAGCUUGCUCUUUCUACGUUAGCGGUGGACGGGUGAUUAACACGUAGGUAACCUACCUAUAAGAAUGGGAUAACUUUGGGGAACCGGCGCUAAUACCGGAGCAUAUCUCGAACCGCAUGGUUAGAUAGUGAAAGAUGGCUUUGCUAUCACUUAUAGAUGGACCUGCGCCGUAUUAGCUAGUUGGUACGGUAACGGCUUACCAAGGCAACCUUACGUAGCCGACCUGAGAGAGUGGUCGGCCACACUAGAAGUGGGACACGGUCCAGGGGCCUACGGGAGGCAGCAGUAGGCAAUCGGCCGCAAUAGGGGAGAGCCUGACGGAACAACGCGGAGCGAGUGGUAGAGGUCUUCGGAGCGUAAAACCCUGCUAUGAGGGAAGAACAAACGUGUGAGUAACUGAGCCGGACUUGACGGUACCUAAAGAGAAAGCCACGGCUAACUACGUG
rnacentral:rRNA from 1 species